GACGAACGCUGGCGGCGUGCCUAAUACAUGCAAGUAGAAAGCAGUUGCGAACGGGUGAGUAACGCGUAGGUACCUGCCUGGUAGCGGGGGAUAACUUUUGGAAACGCAAGCUAAUCCCGCAUACUACAAGAUCGCCCUGCGUUGUAUUAGUUAGUUGGUGGGGUAACGGCUCACCAAGGCAACGAUACAUAGCCGACCUUAGAGGGUGAUCGGCCACACUGGGACUGAGACACGGCCCAGACUCCUACGGGAGGCAGCAGUAGGGAAUCUUCGGCAAUGGACGGAAGUCUGACCGAGCAACGCCGCGUGAGUGAAGAAGGUUUUGGGAUCGUAAAGCUCUGUUGUAAGAGAAGCGGUAUCUUACCAGAAAGGGACGGCUAACUACGUGCCAGCAGCCGCGGUAAUUC
rnacentral:rRNA from 1 species